GAUGAACGCUGGCGGCGUGCUUAAUACAUGCAAGUCGAACGGAGACUGUAGCAAUACUGUCUUAGUGGCGAACGGGUGAGUAACGCGUUGGUGACCUGCCCCGAAGAGGGGGAUAACAGUCCGAAAGGAUUGCUAAUACCCCAUGUGGUCGUUUGGAUUAGAUGCCUUAUGACUAAACGGAUUUAUUCGCUUCGGGAGGGGCCUGCGUCCCAUCAGCUAGUUGGUAAGGUAAUGGCUUACCAAGGCUAUGACGGGUAGGGGACCUGAGAGGGUGGCCCCCCACAAUAGGAACGUAGAACAACGGUCCGACUACACCUACCGGGUGGGCACG
rnacentral:rRNA from 1 species